rnacentral:rRNA from 1 species
UACGAAGGGUGCAAGCGUUACUCGGAAUUACUGGGCGUAAAGCGUGCGUAGGUGGUUCGUUAAGUCUGUCGUGAAAGCCCCGGGCUCAACCUGGGAAUGGCGAUGGAUACUGGCGGGCUAGAGUGCGGUAGAGGGUGGUGGAAUUCCCGGUGUAGCGGUGGAAUGCGCAGAUAUCAGGAGGAACACCGGUGGCGAAGGCGGGAUCCUGGGCCAGUACUGACGCUGAGGAGCGAAAGCGUGGGGAGCAAACAGG